rnacentral:tRNA from 1 species
GCGAGUAUAGCUCAAGUGGUAGAGCGCAUGCUUAGCAUGCAGGAGGUCCUGGGUUCAAUUCCCAGUGCCUCCU